CAAAAGGACCCACACCGUGAAGUAAAAUUUACAGAUAAUGAAGUACAGAUUCAGAGGGCUGAAAUAAAAGCAAAACCAGCGGAGAUAAUGCACCAAGGUAAAAGAAGACACUAUGAUAUUCGGUCAGCCAGAGAGGUUAUCAUUUUAUUUACAGAAGACGAUAAAAACAUCAACGGUGGCACCGCAGGUAAACCGUUCAACCUUAGUAAAAGGCUAAAGACUAUUUCGCAAAUAGCUUGCAACAU